GAGGUCCGCCCCCUGAGCAACUGUCACUCAAGGGUCCUCUAGAUGGAGCUUGGAUGGCUCCUUUCAACAUCACUGUCCCUUCCCGUUCUCCAUAAUGAGACUAUAACUUUUGGAAUUCCUAUUAAAGAAGAGGGCUGGUUUUCAUAGAUGCUUCUAGAAGAAACAAUCCUGUCUUCUGCCAACAGGCGGUCUUAAAAGGCUGCACAGCAAGACCGUUCAUCUACAGCAAGUGGUUGUGCUGGAACAAAAGGCAGUCUCUCUGUGGCCCAGACAUGAAAAAGAGAAGGAAGGAGACAGUGCCAAGGAAGGGUCUGUCUUUAGCACAGGAGCCUGCAGGAGCAUUUGAGAUCCAGACUAGAGUCUGUGAGUUCACCUUCAUGGAAGAUAGGAAGCCUGUAUCAUUAAGAAGACUUGAUUAAAGCUGCUGAGGGGUCAACAGUCUCACCCAGAUGUGAAACCUGUGAGCUAUGUAGUUGACCAGUGUGGCAGGAUCACAUCCAAUGGUAUAGUGGUGGCACAGAUAUUACAGGACUAACCAAUCACUUUCCGAUUGGACUGAGGCCUGCUCCAUUGGGAGAAAUGCAGGCGUGUUACCGUCGAUUUACUCAAGAACUCCCAUGGGAGCUCAUAGCCCACAGGGAUGAACCUACUACUAUUAUUUUGCUAAGUGGACAAAGUAUUAAACUGAUCUCUAAAUCUGUAUCUCUGUACUAAUAAAUUAGUGUGUAGCUCCCAGA